AAGGCUAGGUGCAAGCCAUGUGGUGGGUUCGGAGAGCCCGUUGCUGGUACUCCGUAUUGCUCGACGCGGGCGGAGCCAGGCUCAGGAUGGGGCGGCGCACAGCCUCAGGCGCCCUGGAGAACCCGGGCUCCUGCGGGGGCGAGCUACAAGGCGAGCUGGACAGAUUUGGGGGCGUCUCCGUGCACUUGUCGCGGCACCACACGCUGCACGGGCUGGAUGCCGCCGCCUUCCGGAGGCUCUUGCAGGCCACCAUUCAGCAGUGGCGAUCGGAAGGAAGGAUAGCUGCCUGGCUGCACAUCCCCAUCCAGCAGAGCCACUUCAUCGCCCCCGCUGCUUCCCUGGGAUUUUGCUUCCACCACGCAGAACCCCAUUCCUCAACACUGACUAUGUGGCUGGGAGAAGGACCCAGCAGACUCCCGGGGUAUGCUACACACCAAGUAGGUGUUGCAGGUGCUGUAUUUGAUGUUAGCACCAGGAAAGUACUGGUUGUACAAGAUCGAAAUAAAUUGAAAAACAUGUGGAAGUUUCCAGGAGGCCUGUCAGAGCCAGGAGAAGAUAUUGCAGACACAGCAGUCCGAGAGGUUUUUGAAGAGACUGGUGUCAAGUCAGAAUUCAGGUCCCUGUUGAGCAUCAGGCAGCAACACAGGAGCCCUGGGGCCUUCGGGAUGUCAGACAUGUACCUGGUCUGCCGCCUGCAGCCGUGUUCCUUCACCAUCAACUUCUGCCAGCAGGAAUGCUUGAAGUGUGAAUGGAUUGAUCUAGAAAACCUGGCCCGGACUAAACACACGACACCCAUCACUAGCAGGGUGGCUAGGCUACUGCUGUAUGGACUCAGGGAAGGGUUUGACAAAAUUGACCUCAGCAUGGAGGAAUUCCCUGCAGUGUACACAGGCCUGUUCUACAAACUCUAUCACAGGGAACUGCCAGAGAGGUACAGAGCCACGGUGGGGACAGACUGAAUGCCAACAUUCAUACCCGGUACCAGUUUUCUUACAUACAUGAUGUCCGCGGCAGAAAUCCAUAAAUUGACAGUGUCUAAAGUGAGUCAGCUCUUAGCAGACAUUGGAAGAAACAGUAUGGCCUUCUGUCCAGGUCCCGUUUUGGAUCCGAGUUUAUACUGCCCAGUUCGUUUCAGAGCCACAUACCAACUGGAGUAUUUCCGUGACCGGACACACAGCAAACCCACCAAACUCCACCCUGUAAGAGUGAUCUCCUACACAUCCUUCCUACAAGACACCAUACCAUAGGUGUGAACAGGUGCAUGGUGACAUCCUACUUCAACACACCGUCCUCAGAGUGUGACUUCCUACCUGCAACACAUCAUCCCCUAGGUGUGAACUGCUGCAUGGUGACUUCCUUAUGGUGGUCCAUCCCCUAACAGUGAGCUCCUGCUUAGUGACUCCCUUCCCAAGGAGAGGAAAGAUUAACUCUGAAGUGGAGACGCCCACUUUCCAGCCAAAUGAUGACGUCUGUACUUCUGUGGUUGUCCUCUCAAACUUGCAGAACUCUUAUCUAGCUACAAGAAAAACACCAGGCAAUCCCAAACUAGUGGAUCCUAAAGAUGCUCAGCUGUCAAAGCAAUGAAAAACAAGGAGAGUCUAAGAAAUGGUCACUGCCUAGAGGAAACUAGAAAGACAGAUGACCAAAGCUGGCCCUGGAUAGGAUCCUCAGGGGGAAAUUAAAGUGGUAUAAGUCACUAUGGACUUUAGCUACUGGUAUUGUAGUGUGACAGACAGACAGCCACCUAAUGGAGAAACAGCAGUCUUCCUGACUUAACUGCAAACUUAAAACUGUUGUAAGGGUAAAUUGUAUUCUUAAGAAAGAUCUACCCUGAUGUGAUCAUUAUAUAGUAUAUACUGACACCAAACAUGUCCGUUCUAAGUACAUUAAAGUACACAAUAAAAAUAAAACACAAGUCAUGCAAAAAAGCCAGCCCCUAGACCUGCAAGUGUUACUAGAAAAGAACAUCUGGAGGGAUGGCACAGUGGAUAAAGUGAUUACUAUGCAAGUAUGAGGACAAAAUUGAGGUGCCCAGAACCCAUAUAAAUACCAGGUAGGAGUGGUAUUUACCUUUAAGCUCAGCAUAUGGAAGGCAGACAGGAUUCUCAGUGCAAGGUUGGCUAGCCAACCUAACCAAAAUCACUCCAGAUUCCACAAGAAACCUUGUUUUUUAGUUAUUGUUUCUGUUGCUGUGAUAAAAUACCAUGACCAAAAGCCACUUUUGGAGGAAAGUAUUUAAUUUGUCUUACAGUUUCACAUCACAGUCCAUCACUGGGGGAAGUCAGGAGAGGAACACAGAGGCAGAGAACAUGGAGAGCUGCAUCUUACUGACUUGCUCCACAUGGUUUGCCCAACUCUGCUUUUUUAGAGCACCAAGGACCACCAGCCCUAGCGUAACAUUACCCACAGUAAGCAGGGCCCUCCUACAUCAAUCAAAAAUCAAGAAAAUAUACCAUAAGCUUGCCCACAGACUAAUCUGGUGGCAGCAUUUCCUCAGUUAAGGUUCCCUCUUCCUAAAUGACUCUAGGUUUGUGUCAAGUUGACCUACUACUGCCAGGAGACCCUGCUUUGACACAUAAGGUGGACAAGGAUCAAGAAAGAUACCUGAUGUCAACCAUGGGCCUCCUCGUACACAUGCUUGUAUGCCCCCACCCCCAAACACACCACCACAUCCACCAUAAUACAUGUGCAGAAAAUAAUAAUUUCUUCAGGGAAUGAGUAAUCUCUUGUUAUAAAAUAAAAGCAAAUCCUUGAUUUUAA